GACGAACGCUGGCGGCGUGCUUAACACAUGCAAGUCGAACGGAAAGGCCCUGCUUUUGUGGGGUGCUCGAGUGGCGAACGGGUGAGUAACACGUGAGUAACCUGCCCUUGACUUUGGGAUAACUUCAGGAAACUGGGGCUAAUACCGGAUAGGGGCUCCUGCUGCAUGGUGGGGGUUGGAAAGUUUCGGCGGUUGGGGAUGGACUCGCGGCUUAUCAGCUCGUUGGUGGGGUAGUGGCUUACCAAGGCUUUGACGGGUAGCCGGCCUGAGAGGGUGACCGGCCACAUUGGGACUGAGAUACGGCCCAGACUCCUACGGGAGGCAGCAGUGGGGAAUAUUGCACAAUGGGCGGAAGCCUGAUGCAGCAACGCCGCGUGCGGGAUGACGGCCUUCGGGUUGUAAACCGCUUUCGCCUGUGACGAAGCGUGAGUGACGGUAAUGGGUAAAGAAGCACCGGCUAACUACGUG
rnacentral:rRNA from 1 species